rnacentral:rRNA from 1 species
AGAGUUUGAUCAUGGCUCAGGAUUAACGCUAGCGGCAGGCCUAAUACAUGCAAGUCGAGGGGCAGCACGGGUAGCAAUACCUGGUGGCGACCGGCGCACGGGUGCGUAACACGUAUGCAAUCUACCUUUAACCGGGGAAUAACUCGCUGAAAGGCGAGCUAAUACCGCAUAACACUUCGAGAGGACAUCCUCAUGAAGUCAAACCUCCGGGGGUUAAAGAUGAGCAUGCGUCCGAUUAGAUAGUUGGCGGGGUAACGGCCCACCAAGUCUACGAUCGGUAGGGGGUCUGAGAGGACGAUCCCCCACACUGGUACUGAGACACGGACCAGACUCCUACGGGAGGCAGCAGUAAGGAAUAUUGGACAAUGGUCGCAAGACUGAUCCAGCCAUGCCGCGUGCAGGAUGAAGGCGCUCAGCGUUGUAAACUGCUUUUGUUCGGGAAAAAUUGUUCGGUUUCUACCGGACUUGAUUGUACUGAAAGAAUAAGGGACGGCUAACUUCGUGCCAGCAGCCGCGGUAAUACGAAGGUCCCAAGCGUUAUCCGGAUUUAUUGGGUUUAAAGGGUGCGUAGGCGGGCUGUUAAGUCAGUGGUGAAAGCUCCAUGCCUAACAUGGAAAUUGCCAUUGAUACUGACGGUCUUGAGUACAUUUGAAGUGGGCGGAAUGUGUCAUGUAGCGGUGAAAUGCUUAGAUAUGACACAGAACACCGAUUGCGUAGGCAGCUCACUAAACUGUAACUGACGCUGAGGCACGAAAGCGCGGGGAGCAAACAGGAUUAGAUACCCUAGUAGUCC